GGCAGCGACACUGUGGUAGGCCCUGAAAUCCAUAAUAUUUCAGGGUCCUGCCAAAGCAGGGUGAGGACCUGCAGUGGAGCUGGGUCUGGAAGAGCAGGAGGAUCAAGAGGAGGAGAAGCCAAGGCCUGGAAAAUGCAAACUCUGUUCUCUACCUUAAGUUGGAAGGGGAGGGCAUGGCUUUACUACCCAUAGGGAAGGAACUUCAGGAAGGGAAUGGUUCAGGAUUUACCUGGAGCACCUGCAGAAGGCAACGUGACGAGGGAACAUGCGUAGCUGCACAGCUUCAGAGCAGAGGUGCCUUUCAAGUCCUCAGUCUUGGAGAAUUCCAACACGUUCCUUGGAUGAAAGAUUCAAAAUCUUGGCCCAAGAAGAGCAAACCUACAGUUUUACUGGUUCAGUCAGUCUAUAGAUGUUUACCCAGGUUAAAUGCUAAUAUAAUUAUACAUUCAAUCAGAUAGCAUGACUGUUGACUGUGAGUUUGAGACCUUGACUGAACACGACAUCGUUUAUUGUAGGGAUUCCUUCUACGUCAUUCAUCUUCACAGCAGGCAGAAUUACUGCAGAUCAUAUGCAAAUCAUAUACUGUAUUCUGUAAUAUUUUCAAACAUUUUACAAUUUGGUUGUUAAUGGGUGACCCUAAGACAUAAAGCAGCUAAUUAUCCACUCACUCCAUCCAUCUCCCAGCCAUUUAUUCAGCAUUUGGGGAAGGAUCCUAUCUUCUCAACUAUUAUUUUCUUUCUCACACCACUAAAGCAGAUUUUAUAUUCUCCCUUCUGCUGUUUUUAGGCUGUAAUGAUAGUUUCACUAUAACAUAUAAUGGCUUUAUAUUUAUCUUUGUAAGUUCAAGACUAUUCAUUUCUAACAUUUAUCAGAAUUGCACUUCCUUUUUUCCUGAUGAUUAUAGUUUCACUUAAAUGUAUGUCUAAGCCUACGUCCUAACCCAUACUGGGUGUAACCUUUCCAAGUAUGAAAUGAUAUUCUUACACCUUCCAAUUCAGAAUUGUGGGCUCUAUGUUGGGUAGAAACACUGAAGCUGGCUGGACAGAAAUUCUCCAGUUAAAACACUGGCUUGUAAUACACUGGGUAUUAGUUGUCUAUAAC